UGGCUGAGUGUUAAAGCGCUUGGCUUCUGAACUGGGGGUCCCGGGUUCAAAUCCUGG
rnacentral:tRNA from 1 species